GCCAGCGGUCAUAGCAUUUUGAAUGCACCAGUUAUUAAUGGAUCAGUUAAGCAACCUUACACGUGGUUGACAUCCGGAUGGGUGACCAUCUGGGCAAUCGCGUGCUGCUGGCU
rnacentral:rRNA from 1 species